rnacentral:lncRNA from 1 species
AGCCAGUGCCCUACACUAUACAAGAUGCCACUGUAGGGACAGGGAUGACCUCUAGCAAGGUGACCCUCAGUGGGCCAGAGGGGGCUUCUGAAGAGAAUUUCUCUAGCUUCUUGGUGUUUCCUGCCUGCUACUUUCAAACAAGGGUCCCAUUUUUAAUGUUUUCCCAGUAAUACCUUAUGAAUGUUAUUGCAAAGGUAAAGGAAAUUAUAUUUUUGCUCUUAUUGUUGUUCACUCUACUCCCAUUUAGCAAUUAACAUUGAAAGCAGCGGGCUAAAUCAACACCACAGGCCCCGUGAUCAAUAUAUGUGAUGAGGACAUUACAUCCUGGUGUUGUUGCCCCAAGUCUUGACGUGAAUCUGACCACAAGGACAAUUCGGACAACCUGAAAUGGUGACGCAUUCUACAAAAUAAACAUCAAUGUCAUGAAAGACAAAGACUCAAGAUUUUCUGCUUAAUGGAGACUAAAGAGAUGCGACAACAGAAUGCCAGGCAUGAUCUUGGAUAUUCUUUUGGCUCAAACAGUCUUAGGACAAUUGAAAAAACGUGAAUGAGGUCUGUAGCUAAUAGAAUUGUGUCAAUGCC